AAAAAAUUAAUAGAACGGAUUCCCUUCUCAUGGCUUAGUGGUUAACAAACCUGACUAGGAUCCAUGAGGAUGCGGGAUGGAUCCCUGGCCUCGUUCAGUGGGUUAAGGAUCCAGCGUUGCCGUGAGCUGUGGUGUAGGUCACAGACACGGCUCAGAUCUGGCGUUUCUGUGGCUGUGGUGUAGGCUGGCUGCUGCAGCGCCAAUUGGACCCCUAGUCUGGGAACCUUCAUGUGCUGUGGGUGUGGCCCUAAAAAGCAAAAACAAACAAACAAACAGAAAAGUAAUGUUUUCAUUAGUUCAAAGCAAGAUAACUUAGGAGGACUAAAGGAAUAAAGGAGAGAUGGGACAGAGAAAAUAGCUGCAAGAUGGUAGACUUUAAUGUAUUUUAAUUACAUUAAAAACAAAUGGAGCAAAGAUAACGAUCUGAUAGAUAAUGAUUGUCAUACUGGAGGAAAAUCAGAGUCUUACCUGUGCUCAUUAGAAAGACAUACUUGAGGAGUACCCGUUGUGGUGGAGUGGAAACGGAUCCGACUCCUAUCCAUGAGGAUGCAGGUUCGAUCCCUGGCCCCACUCAGUGGGUUGGGGAUCCGGCGUUGCUGUGAGCUGUGGUGUAGGUCACAGAUGUGACUUGGAUCCUUUGUUGCUGUGGCUAUGGUGUAGGCCAGCAGCUACAGCUCCAAUUCGACCCCUAGACUGGGAACCUCCAUAUGCUGCAGGUGCCGCCCUAGAAAAACCAAAAAAGGAUAUACUUAAAAUGUAAGAGCAUAGAAUGUAAAGGAGACACACCAUGCCAACUGAGAAAAUGAGUAUGAUUAUCUCACACAGUGGACUUUAAGACAAAAAAAUAUGAUCAGAAAUAAAGAGUGACGUUGCGGAGUUCCUGCCGUGGCUCAGCGAUAAUGAACUCAACUAGUAUCCAUGAGGACAUGGAUUUGAUCCCUGGCCUUGCUCAGUGGGUUAAGGAUCCAGUGCUGCCGUGAGCUGUGGUGUAGGUCACAGAUGUGGCUUGGAUCUAGCGUUGCUGUGGCUGUGGUGUAGGCCGGCAGCCACAGCUUCCAUUCGACCCCCUAGCCUGGGAACUUCCAUGUGCCGUGGGUGUGGCCCUAAAAAGAAAGACAAAAGAAAAAAAAAAGUGACAUUGAAAAUGAUAAAAGGAUAAAUUUAUCAGGAAUAUAUUACAUACCUAAAUUUGUGUGGAGCUGACAAAGCAAAAGCACUAGACAAAUGCAUAAUCACAAUUGGAGUUUUUUUUAACAUACCUCUCUCAGUCACUGAUAGAAGUAGGGAGAGAAAUCAGUAAGGAUACAGAAGAUUUAACCAAAAUAAUGAAUCUACUUGGCCUAAUUUCAUAUGUAGAACAUCACACCCAACAAAAGCUAACUAUAAUGCUUUUUAGAUGUACAUGGAAUUCUUCCAAAAGAGAUAAAUCUGCAGACCAUAAAUUGCAGCAUGUUCCAAAGAACUGAAUUACUGAACUUAUGAUCUCUGACCCUAGUGAAAUUAAACCACAACUCAGUAACAGAAAGAUAACGACUAAAUUCCCAACAUAUUUCUAAAUGAUUCAUGGGAAAAAUAAACACAAUGGAAAUAAAAUAUUCUGAAGGAGAAAAAAAUACAACUUGCUCCAAUUAUGAAAUGCAGCUAAAGCAGCAAUUAGGGGAAAUUUAAUAGCUCUAAAGGCAUAUAUUAUAAACGAAGAAAGGUUAAACUUCAGCAAUUCAAGUGCUCAUCUCAAGAAGCCAGGAAACAAACUGCAAAUUAAACCCAAAGAAAAUGGAGGGGAAUAAUAAAAGGGCGGAAGUCAAUGAAAUAGAAAACAGAGGUAAAGCACCAAUGCUGAAAGUUUGUUCUUUUAAACAGUAAUAAAAUUGUUAAACCCAUAGCAUGAUUGAUCAAGAAAAAAAGAAAAA
rnacentral:lncRNA from 1 species